AGCAGUAGCCACGGGAAUACGUAGGUGGCGAGCGUUGUCCGGAAUCAUUGGGCGUAAAGGGAGCGCAGGCGGGCAUGUAAGUCUUUCUUAAAAGUGCGGGGCUCAACCCCGUGAUGGGAAAGAAACUAUGUGUCUUGAGUACAGGAGAGGAAAGCGGAAUUCCCAGUGUAGCGGUGAAAUGCGUAGAUAUUGGGAGGAACACCAGUGGCGAAGGCGGCUUUCUGGACUGCAACUGACGCUGAGGCUCGAAAGCCAGGGGAGCGAAUGGGAUUAGAUACCCGAGUAGUCCCUGUCUCUUAUACC
rnacentral:rRNA from 1 species